rnacentral:rRNA from 1 species
GACGAACGCUGGCGGCGUGCUUAACACAUGCAAGUCGAACGAUGAAGCCUAGCUUGCUAGGUGGAUUAGUGGCGAACGGGUGAGUAAUACGUGAGUAACCUACCUUUAACUCUGGGAUAAGCCCGGGAAACUGGGUCUAAUACCGGAUACGACCAAUCUCCGCAUGGGGUGUUGGUGGAAAGCGUUAUGUAGUGGUUAUAGAUGGGCUCACGGCCUAUCAGCUUGUUGGUGAGGUAACGGCUCACCAAGGCGACGACGGGUAGCCGGCCUGAGAGGGUGACCGGCCACACUGGGACUGAGACACGGCCCAGACUCCUACGGGAGGCAGCAGUGGGGAAUAUUGCACAAUGGGCGCAAGCCUGAUGCAGCGAUGCCGCGUGAGGGAUGACGGCCUUCGGGUUGUAAACCUCUGUUAGCAGGGAAGAAGAGAGAUUGACGGUACCUGCAGAGAAAGCGCCGGCUAACUACGUG